GAUGAACGCUGGCGGCGUGCCUAAUACAUGCAAGUCGAGCGAACAGACGAGAGUGCUUGCACUCUCUGACGUUAGCGGCGGACGGGUGAGUAACACGUGGGUAACCUACCUAUAAGACUGGGAUAACUUCGGGAAACCGGAGCUAAUACCGGAUAAUAUUUAGCUUCGCAUGAAGCAAUAGUGAAAGACGGUUCUGCUGUCACUUAUAGAUGGACCCGCGGUGUAUUAGCUAGUUGGUGAGGUAACGGCUCACCAAGGCAACGAUACAUAGCCGACCCGAGAGGGUGAUCGGCCACACUGGGACUGAGACACGGCCCAGACUCCUACGGGAGGCAGCAGUAGGGAAUCUUCCGCAAUGGACGAAAGUCUGACGGAGCAAUGCCGCGUGAGUGAAGAAGGUUUUCGGAUCGUAAAACUCUGUUGUAAGGGAAGAACAAGUACGUUAGUAACUGAACGUACCUUGACGGUACCUUACCAGAAAGCCACGGCUAACUACGUG
rnacentral:rRNA from 1 species